rnacentral:rRNA from 1 species
UACGGGGGGAGCAAGCGUUGUUCGGAUUUAUUGGGUUUAAAGGGUGCGUAGGCGGUCUUUUAAGUCAGUGCUGAAAUACUCCAGCUUAACUGGAGGGGUGGCAUUGAUACUGGAAGACUUGAGUGUAGUCGAAGUAGGCGGAAUUGACGGUGUAGCGGUGAAAUGCUUAGAUAUCGUCAAGAACACCGAUAGUGAAGACAGCUUACUAGGCUACAACUGACGCUGAGGCACGAAAGUGUGGGGAUCAAACAGG